AUAGCUGGAGAGAGAGAAUAAGAAUACAUGUAUAAUGUAUAAAGGCAGGUGAUACUACCAGACAAAAUUAUCUUCUUGAGUGAUUCAGUCAGUCCCUUUGUAUCAUGCCACAAAGAUUAUGUUCACUCCAUGAGUGUGUCAUAAAGCUUUGAGAUAUCAAGAGUGAAAACAUAACCAACCUGCCUGCCUGCCUGCCUUCCUUCCUUCCUUCCUUCCUUCCUUCCUUCCUUCCUUCCUUCCUUCCCACAAAACAUUCUCUAUUGUGCAAGCUUCUCUGUAAUACCAGGCAGGCAGACCUCAAAGUUUUUGCGAGGCAUUUUAUGACUCUUUUAUCCUUCUCCCUCAUCCACUCAGUGCAAUAACUAUCACACACAGGAACUAUAGCAUGAACAAGACAGGCAGUCUCUCUUCUCAGGGAACCAACAGCCUAGAGGCCUGCAAGCCAGAGCAAGUAUGCAGAUCUAUAAACCAGGCAUUUUAGAGUAAGUGGCAUGAGAAAAUACGACAAUGUGAGGAAGAAGGAAGAGGGGCAUGACUCUUACCAAGGGGUUGUGGAGUCUUCCGAGGAGCCACCCAGCUGUCCCACUCCAGGGCCUCUAGGACAAGGGUGUCUGCAGACAGCCUGGUAAAGUCUUUUUCUUCUCCACCAUCUCCUCCUACAGCCACACAAUGAGCCAGUCAGGGGCAAGGUUGCAACCGGAACCCUGGCUCCCGACGUCUUGUCUGCAUCCCUCAUACCCAUCCUGGGCAUCCUGCAAUUCCCACUGACUCUAGAAGCCCUCGGUCAGCUGCUGUGAGAAACUGACAUUCUGUAAAUUCUGUGUUUUGCCUUUGUUUUAUUUGUAUUAUGUUAUAACAUCAAGAGAAACCCAAGGGCUUUCCCCAGAAUGGGGAAAAAGCGGGAUGAUUUUGAUCACGUGGCUCUACCAUUUACUCAGUGGGGAAGAGAAGGUGGCCCCUGACCAGGAACAAGGUGAUAGAUUUCUAUGCCUGUCUUCACUUUGUGUCUUGUUUCUUUUCUGCCUAUCAUCAUUUAGUCAGGAGUUUUUUUUUUUUCCCCUGCGUACUUAGAAAGUAUAUGAGAAAACAGAAACUCUUUCCAUAAAUCUUGUUAGGAGAGAGAAGAAUCCUGUAGUCACUUAGGAUGGAAAAUCCUUCUAAGACAAAAGGGCCUUCAGAGCAGGCUGUGGGAGCACAUUGAGCCCACAGAGAGAGGUUGACCCCCCUGGGGGAUUUUGUCUGGCCUUUCACUUCCUAAUACUUUGUUGGCCACAUCUGUGUAGUGGGUCUCCAUCUGUCCUGCCUGCUUCUGAGAGAUGACAGAGGGAGUCUCUGAAAAAGCCAGGCGUCAGAUCCUGUAGGCGGGGUGCCAUGGGCAUGGCCUGGACAAGUGAAGCCUGACAUGUGGGUGCUCUCCUCCAGACCCGGAGCCCCCCUGAGAGUGUAGAGCCCUGACUCUCACAGCAGCCUGUCAGCAGCGCCUCGAGCACCUGGCUGUUCUGCGCUUGGCUGACAUCUCGGGAUUCCUCAGUCUCUUAGGAGGAGAGGAAAUGUGUGUUUUCAGUUUGGGAAGGAAGACACACCUCUAAAUGUCAGACCUGAGGCUUCAGAUAAGCCCAUAGGAUAUUUUCAUUUGGGGACUGAAAAGAGCCGACCCAAACACCUACGUACUGAGGCCCAUGAAACUCACACUCCCAGAGAGGUUCAGGGGUAAAUCUUGCGCCGCGUCACCCUUUCCAAUGAAGAGACGGCUUUGAAGCUCGCGCCUCGCUCUGGGCUCAUUGUUCUGCGUGUAAAGGGCCUUUGCUAACACCCACUGGCAUUUUCUAGUACAAGGGAACACUGUGUCAACCUACAUGAAAACGGAAAUGCUAAUGCUCCUGGGAUUUGAGACCACAGUGCCCCCUCCAUGUUCAGUAAUCCUGGAGGCAGCGACUGGAAAGUACACUCCAUGCAGCACAGAUUCAUUUAGAGCAAUGUCUUUCAGACUCUGUCCCUUGGAACCCUGAGGUUCCACAGAACACAUCAGGGACUGGGGCAGGGGGACAGAUGGCCGCUGGAAAUGGGUGCCCUCCAGGCCUGAGCAGGACCCCAGGCCUUCCUUUCCAACCUGACCAGAGAACUUUUGCUUCCAUUUUUAUGCUGUGGUUCUGCACGCAACUCCAUUCAACAGAAGGUUCCCCUGCUUUUAAAAAGAGUUUGAAGACCUUGGCCGAGGUAGAGGCUCUAUUCAAUCUAUAAUUCUAUUUACAAGACAAAAAUAAAUAAUUAUAAAUCCAGCUUAAUUAGCCCUCGCAUAAAGUAAAAGUAAACCUCAGCAGAAUUCUACAGGAUUCGGUCAUCAUAAUUCUUUCUCCUCCUUCAGAUGUAGUUGAGGGUCCUUGCGUCUGUCAUUAAGCUCCUCACUCCCCAUUCAUAAGGCUGCCUUGUACUUUGUGAAGGAUUUCCACACACUGCUUGGCUGGGGGUGUGAGCAAUCUCAAAAAACCUUCACCAGCCCGUAUGAAGUGUCUGACUAAAACGCAGGAGGUCAUUCUCUUUUCUGCCAGGGGCAGCUUCUCAAACACAGAAGGGUGGCUCAGGAGAGGGGGUGGGGCAGGGGCCAAGUCCAAUGGCAAAGGCAAUGGCUUUGGGCCAAAGGGUAAAAAUGCUUGUUUUCAGGAAAAUUAGAAAAAUUUGCCUGAGGCAGGUCCCACUUACACACUGAGUUCUUAUAUGGGCCCUUUUAUAUUGCUGUUUACUUUGCUUUUUAAAUUAAAAAAUCAGUGCCUGCCAGUCAGGGGGCCUCUCCAGCCCUGAAAGAGUCUGCCAUUGCCCCCACCCCAGCUCCCCACCCCAGGCUCCUGGGUCAGAGACUGAUGAGAAUUGGGCGUCAAGAGGGAAAUGUGUGGGUUAGAGGCGAACGUGGAGUCUGGGCUGUUUUUCUGUAUGGUAAUGGACAAGCCAGGGUGGCCAUUCUCAGACAGGCAGUUUCUCCUCUCCAGUCUCUGGGGUAGGCCUUUGAAAACAAUUGCCAGCUAGAAUGGCUGAAAGAAUUUUCCUGGGGAUCCUGAGCAAAACCUCUGAGAGAAGGGGGAGGCUUUCCCUCGUCCUCCCUGAUAGAUCCCCAGGGCACUGCAUUCCCCAGGCUGGCAUUUCCCCACUCCUGCCUACAGGUUUGCUGCUAGGGGUGGUGGGGGCAGUGGGGAGGCCAACAUGGGAAGCCACUGUUUGUGAUGCCUGUGACCCAGCCCAGCUUCUAGAGGGCUGUGGCCCACACAGCACCUGGGGCUCCCGUGUCCCCUCCCAAGCCUGGGGCUGUAGGCUCUCCACCUGCUUCCCAGCCAGGCAGGUGACUGCCCCAUGCUGGUGAGAGCUGAGGCCUUGGAGCGAUUCAGACUCUAUUCCUACCACUUCCUCCUUUGGAGGCCUCUGAGCCUCAGUGUUCUUAGCUCAAAAAUGGGAUUACAACUACAAUUUGCUUGAUAAGGUUUUUGGAAGGACAAAAAAAGAGACAAUCUUUAUGAAACCCCCCAGUUCAGAGUCCUUGGCACAUCAUAACCACUCCCCAAAACAUUAGCUAUUAUGAGUUACUACAGUUAGAUAUUCUUGAUGGGAAGCAAGUGCUUCUAGUAUAGUAUCUAAUAAGAGCACCUCCCAGCGGUGCCAGUUGCUAGCUGUGUGAUGUCAGACAAAUUCCUUUACCUUUCUGACCUUCACUUUCCCCCUUCACAGAAUGAAGAUGACCAUUCCAUCCCACAAGGUGACAGUGGCCCAGUGAAAGCAGCAAAUGCAAACAAGUGCUUAGUGCAGGGUCUGGCACUUGGCAAACAGGCAAUAAAUGAUAGCUGCUGUUACUCGUGGCAGCUCUCGUGUGGCAUUCUCCAAGGACAACAUAAUGUUAUUGGGUUUUGUUUUUCUCUAAGACCUCCCUGGAGCGUGUUCUUGCAGACUGACCCAGCAGUCAGCUGAGGGACAUUACUAACCCACAAGAGGGACAGGACCUGCCCGAGGUCCCUGUACCUGCACACAACUCCAUUCGACAGAAGGUUCCCCUGCUUUUAAAAAGAGUUUGAAGACCUCUGGCUGAUGUAGAGGCUCUAUUCAACCUAUAAUUCUAUUUACAGGACAAAAAUAAAUAACCUGUCUGGGUCCCCUUCACUCUCCCUUUAGAAUGAUGCUGUUUUGACACUGGGCUGGGGCAGGGAGAUAAUUGUUUUAAAUUUUUUUAUUCUCAUCAACUUUGAGAGAAUGCUUUUAAGGCUGUGAGGUGGUCAUGAAACGUAGAGUGAGAGGUGAAGCCCGCCAUGUGAAAGUGAAAUAGAAUUGAGAAGAUCUCACGGGAUCUGAAUCACUUCAAACAAACAAAUGUUUAGCAUUCAAACAAAGGCUUUCUGUAAAGGUUUUAGAGCUGGGGCUGGAGUUUCUUACCCUGUCCCACCCUCACCCUUCUCUGUGACUCUCUCCUUUGUUGACUGGGGAUGCAGGGAAGAGAGGAGAGAUUGUGGGAAGAGAAGGUGGCUCGUGGCUAUGCUUUGCAAGGCUGCAAUUGCCAAGGGUGCAAGAUGGACAUCCUGAUGGACCCUGAUGUAGAAAUCUUGCCUCAGUUGGACUGUAGUGAGUUCAUUAGACAAUCCCAUCCUCUCUCACAUCUUUAGGGGAAUGGAGCUAGGAAUCUGCCAGCUUGGCCUGAGAAGAGAGCCCUGUCCUGAACCCACAUAAAUAGCAGGAUAGGCGGCCAUGGAACUUUUAUGGCUGAACAUGGACUUUCUUGUUUACUCAGCUUAACCUCUUGACUAUAAUGUGCCAGCUACAUAUUUAUUCACAGAACUGUUAGAGAUAAAAGGGACCUCAGGGGACAUUCAACCUGGCCCCUUCACUUUGCAGAAAACAGAAAUGAAACUUCAGAUGGGUGAAUAACUUGUUCAGGUCCCAUCCUGGUUUCUGGCAUCAUUGGGAUGAAAAUCCAGAUCUCUGAGCUGAUUUUCUACGUUUCUUGUUCAUUCUCUCUGAUCUUCUCGUUUUAGGGUGGCUAUGGGAACAGUGACUACCAAUUACUUUCCUGGGUCUUUGCCCUGCUUUGCACUAGUUUGUGCCUGCAUUUUCCAUUCUGGUGGAUGUUGGUUACCACUCAGAUUUGCCUCACUCUUUUAGGAUACAACUAGUUCGCGCUUUAGAACUUUCAGAAUUACAUUAGAUGCAGAGAUGUUAGCUGGAACUUGUCACCUCACAUUCUCCCUCUGCUCGGGCUCUCCUCCUUACCCCAAGGAGCGAGACAAGUGUGGCAAAUCCCACCUGAAAGUUUGCUGCAAGUCUCCUGCUGUGUUUUCAGCAAAUUCAUUUCAGGUGGCUAUGCCUAAGUUUGCAGCUCAUCUUUUAUUUUGUAGAAGAAUCACUUGGGUGGUUCCUUCCUCCAUAGGUGCUUUCCUUCCCUGUCAAGUUUGUUUUGGAAACCAACUUUUUAAACUUUUUGUUACUAAUAAGAAUUUUGUUUUGUGGGAAUUCCUAACCGAAAACAAAAGAUCAUUUCUUAAGGAUGUAUGCUUACCAUAUUCCGUCAUGUAUGGAUUUGCCUGCUUUUCAUGUCUUUGCAAAAGAGGCAUUCUUUCUAUUCUGUUCUGCAAGGCUCCUGUAUUUGGUGUAGCUUUCUAAUAAAAUACUUGAAUUCAGUUGUGUGUCUCUGAGGCAAAUUAAUUUAGUGCCAUGGUUGAGACUGAAGAUGUAAAUGUCCAAUAACAUUGAGAGCAGGAGUUUGCUUUAGCAGGAUUUGUUAAUGAAAGUACAUCCAGAAACUUUCACUUUCUGCAGUGAACAGUGAGGACAAAUGCUGGCCUGGCUGAGAUGGGGAGAGUGGUGUGCCAAGGAGAUCCCAGGAGAGAGAUGCUGAUUCUUUUCUCUGGAGGCAAAACGCAGGAAGGCUUUCGAGGCUCAAUUCUAGUGCUGCCUGCCCCUGGAGGGGGGUCUCCUAGUUGAUUCUCCUCCAGUGUGCCAAAGUGAGAUCUGUGAAGAUUUUCCAUCCAGGUGAAAUUUAAAUCCCACCCAUUCACCCUUUUAUAUAAUGUAUGCAUGUUAAUUGCAUCCCUAAGUAUUUGGUUGGAAGUUUGCUUUAAGUUAGAUCUCCCAGUCUUCCUGAGUUCUGCCCUGUUUUGCUAUUUCCCAGAAGCUCUUUUGAGGGAACGUCCAGGAAGCCACACACCCUCCUUCUGUACCCUGCGGCUCCAAGUUGUCGGGAGCCCUUGGAAAGAGCUGAGAGUUAGACUCAAGGAUCUGGGUCCUUCCCUGCCAGCCCAGCCAUGUGACCUGGGCAAGACCAUUCUACUCUCCCCAUCAUGCGGGAUCUGAGUGUUGUCUGUGUUCCCUUCCAAAUAUAAAAUUAUGGAAUUGUAGGACUUUGGGAAAUUGCGUGUCCACAAUUUCUUUUUCCAUGGGAAAAAAAGGGAAACCAUAUCUAUGGAGUUACAGUGGAGAUGUAGCAGAGAUGCCCUAGAGUGAGCAACCAUCUGUGUUUGCCUAGCACUUCCAGGACACAGGGCUUCCCGUUUUAAAACCCGGAAAGUCUCAGACAAAAUGGUCACCAUAGGUGCACAUAUGGUCCAUUCACCAGACUCCCUGACACCUUAAUACAGGAGCAGGAUGGCGAAGCCCAGCCUAGGGAGGUUUCUAAACCCCGCAGGCUUUCUGAUGGAGUCUGGCUGAAAGAAAGGGGGAGACAGGUGCCAGCCACAUUCCCUAGAAGAGAACACCUUAAUGUGCAGUUGACUUGUUUGAUCUGCUUCAGCUGUGCCACAGUGGUCCCAUGUGUACAGGUAGUGCACUCACAGAAAAUGGAACCAGGGGCCUAUGAGGAUAUUCAGUCCCCCCACCUACCUAACACCGAAAAAGAAGUCAUCUAUAUAUUCCAUAAGAAAUCAUUUCGUUCUUUCCCGUUCUGGAAAUAAAAGCUUCCUCCAUAAUGGGUAGGCUGCCACCUUGUGGCCAUGAGUGGGAAUGUGGGAAAGUACAGGUAACCACAGAGGACUAAAUGCCUCUGGGUUUAAAUCAAUUCGGUUCCUAUAGGGUACGAGGCAGUGAGCUAGAUGCUUGUGUGGCUAAGACUAUCAUUAUGUUACCGAGGGUAGAGUUUUGCUGUGUGCAUGUGAUAAAUACGCUUAGCAGUUUGCAUGUAGUAUCUCCUAUAGUGUGCUUAACAGCCCUGACAGGCAGGAAUCAUCACCAUUUUACAGAUGAGGAAACUGACACUCAGAGGUUAAGUACAUUUUUAAGGUGACACAGCAAAGAGCUAGGAUUUGAAACCAGGAUUGGCUGGCCCUAAAGCUCAUGGUCUGGACCACUAGGCUAUACUGCUAGAGAGAUUAGCGUGAAUAGAAAAAUAGGACCACAUAGAUAGUCUGGGUGGGAGAAAUAGGUCAUUGUGAAUAUGUGGGAAAGAUUAACUUGGUGAACAUAAAGGAAGAAUGCAAAGCAGGGAGUGACUCUGACAUCAAAAGCAGUGGAAUCCAGAGUAAAGAGGGAGAGAGAACUAGAGUUGUCAGGAUUCCAGGUUAAGGGGAAGGUGGGAUUUGAAGUAGCUGUUGCAGGAUGGAUAGGAAUCAGAUCAACAGAGGGAGCUACAGCUUAGUGACCAUUAAUAAGCUGGCCAAGUCCGUGUUUGAUAAAUAUUAGCCUUUUUUUUUUUUUGAGAUGGAAUCUCGCUCUGUUGCCCAGGCUGGAGUGCAGUGGCAUGAUCUCAGCUCACUGCAACCUCUGCCUCCCGGGUUCAAGCGAUUCUCCUGCCUGCCUCAGCCUCCUGAGUACCUGGGAUUAAAGGUGCGUGCCACCACGCCCGGCUAAAUAUUAGCCUUUGUAAACAAUGUGUAUAUCAUGAGUUAAACCCACACUAAAGGCUUUUUAUAUAUGUAUCUCAUUAAUGUGCAAAGGCCCUGCAAGGUCUUUGUUGUUAUGACCCCCAUUUUAUAGGUGAGGAAUCUAAGCAGUAGAGAGGUGGUCACUCACCCAUGGUCACAUUCUUAAUAAAGGAGUCACAAUGUGAACCCACGUCCUUCUGACUCCAAGCCUGUGCUAAAACUGCUACUGGUGGAGAAAAAUCCCACUAGCACAGGCAGGGAGGGCCAUGCUCACAGCAUGCCUGGAUGGUCCAGGUCAUGCAAGUUAUGAUAAAGGAGAGAGCGUGCAGGGGUGGGAUGGACGAGGACACUGAGAAUGGAGAUGGGGGCCUGGAUGCUGAUGUUUUCGCUGAUAAAUAUGUUGAAGCCUCUCCCUGCAGCUACCAAAGUACCAAUGUGAGCUGAAGAGCAUCACGGUACCCAAAGGGAGAGGAGGGCUAUGGAGGCCAUGUAAGAAGGGCCCCACCGUCCAAAUAUUUCCUUUCCCUUAUCCACACCACUGGGAAGUGCGGUGCAUGGCUCCUUCACUAACUGACCGAUCUCAAGUGGGUUAAUUCUCCUCUUUUGGCCUCCGUUUCAUCAUCUAUCAUAUAGGGAUCAUGAUUUUUGCCCUACGUCAUGAAAUUUGCCUACUUAGCAUCUAGCACUGUCAGGGAAUUGUGAGAACCAGACGUAAGAAAAGACAUGAAAGAACUGAAAAGUACGAGGUAUAUUACCUAUUCUGAUUUUGUAAACUGAAUGCAUAUGCCUUUUGAGAAGACUGUGUCAGCCCCUUAUAGAAGGCAUUUCUUCGUGAGGCUGGACGUUUCAUUUGAAAAGCCUUACUACAUGGUGAAGUGCCUUUCAGUCACAAGGUUUUAGGGAAAGCAAACCCAAGUUUAAAAAGAGAUGAUUGACUUAUGGGUCUGAAAAGCUUGGGAGUGGGGCACUCCCAGGCAUGAUUUAACCAGGGGUUCAAAUACAACCACCACACUCUGUCUCUGUAUCUCUCUUCCUACCUCCCCCAUCAUCCCUCCUUUCCUUGUUUUUUCUGCAUUGGCUCCAUUUGCAGAGAGGAGCCCUCUCCUCACUGUAGCGAGAUGGCCACCACAGCUGCAAACCUCACAGCCUCCCAGUUCAAGGUGAGUCUUUGUCCCUGCAUUCCUGUGAGCGCAUCUGCUCCCAUUGGCUACAGCAUGGUCACGGGACAGAGAAUGAGAAAUGCUAAUUGCCUUAGCCCAGACCACAUGCUGCGCCCACCGUGCAUAGGAACUGAAAUUAGGGAGGAGUGGACCUGCAAAUAAAAAUGAGGGCUGUUGCAGUAAAACACAGGGAAAGAAGUGCUGGGAAGGCAAGCAGUCAACCACUCGGUUGUUUCCAUGCACCAUGAUUGCUUUUCUCCUUGCUUUGUCAUCACCAGGACACAGACUCCCCUUGCCGGAAGCAAAGCCUUUGCAUCUGGUUUGCUCCACAGCAGUUCACAGAUUGCUGAAGCCCAAUCUCAUAUGACGAUCCAAGAUCUUAGGAAGUCCAGAAAAAUGGGCAGGAUAACCUUGGAAGCCAAGAUGGCAUAUUCGUGGCUCAGUUCAGAUGGUACGAGGAACUAGGUCCUGACUCCUGGGCUAGUUGUGGAAAAAGUUCAAGUGAUCUUUAGGUUCAGUUUAAUUCCCCACCCAGGAAUUGAACUCUUCCUGCAAGGUGCAGAGCCCAGGGUGGCCAUGGAAGGAACUCUGAACAUCCCUGAUCUUAGAGAAUUCAUGUCUAGUAGAGAACACAGUUGGGGGUCAAGUAAUUGUCAUUCUAAGAAAUGGCCUGAAAAUUUUAGAUGACUCCCUUACCGGUUUCUUGUUGCUUUCCUCUUAGCAUUUCUCUCCUGUGUGUGAUAUUUCUGGAUCAUUACUUCUCAAAGUUUAUUAUUAUAAUCACCUGGAUGCUUGAAAGUGCAGAAAUAGAGGUCUUACUUCAGACCUCCUGAUUCAGAAUGGGAGGUGCAGAGAGCAGCAAUCCGGUGUUUAACAAGCAGCCUGGGUUGAUAAGGCCACGAAAGUUUGGGAUGUUGCUCUGUGAUGUAUCCAUUUUUCCUGUAACUCACAGUUUAUUAACACUUAACUGAUAAUCAGCCUUAUAUUCCAUUUGUUUGCCUCUAAAUUCUGAAAGUAGCCCAUUAAAGCAUAGAAAACAGUGUAAAAGGGGCCCUUCCCCUUGGAAAAGUAGGGCACAAGUGGUUUUCAGAGUUACCCUGACAUUUUCACAGCAAGAGGUCAUUAGGCCCCAUGCAGCCUCACCUUGAUAUUUCAAUGGGGCUGGAAAAAGCUUUCCCCUGUUGUUGGUCUUAUACAGACAGCUUGGAGGCCCUUAACUUCACAAUGAUCAGAGGCGAUAAUGGUUAAAAGACAAAGUGAGCCGAGAGAGAGGGUAUUGACAGGAAGCAUGCCAGGUGACUUAAUUGAAUUUGGGCGAUUCAGAUGGGGUAGCUGGUUCUCAUUUAGGAAAUGCAGAUUGAAUAACCAGUUCUCUUGUUAAAGAGGGCGAUGCAAUUUGAGGAGCUCUGCAUCAGGCACCGACAGGCCCAGCCAGUCCCCGCAUUGAGUUCUUGCCCCUACCCAUGCUCACCAGCACUUUAAUUCACUUGAGAUUUGCUUUUCCUUCCUCCCUUGAAAAUUUCUAAAGUUCUAUCAUUAUUUUUAAUUUUAUGGUACUCAGUUUCAAAAUCAAGUAAUAUUCUAGUUUGUUACAAGUACAUUUUAUAGUAUUUAUAUUAAUACUUAUUUUAUCCAUUAUUUUUCCAUUAAAAAAAAUAUAUAUAUAUAUUUUGAGACAGGGUUUCUCUCUGUCACCCAGGCUGGAAUCCAGUGGCAUGAUCAUAGCUCACUGCAGCCUCAACCUCCUGGGCUCAAGCAGUCCUCCCACCUCAGCCUCCCAAAGUGAUGGUAUUACAGGCGUGAGCCAGGCCUCUUUUUUCUUUUCUAGCCUCCUUUUAAGAUAGUAAUGAUGUCUUAAUGUCAUUUUAACCUAAGACUCAAAUUUGGGGAGUUUGGUUCUUUUGAGAAAGGAAAAAUUUGCUGUGAUUUCUCUGCUCAUAUCAUACCUCCAAAAACCUUUUGGAAAUAGAUUAUACUGUUUUAAAUAGGUACAUAAUUAUAACAGCUAAUGUUUACUGUGCUCCGAGCACUGUUCUAAAUACUUUAUAAUUUAAUUUUUAUUUACCAUAAUACCAGGAGUUAGGCUCCCCCAUUUUGCAGAUGAGGAAAUUGAGGCACAGAGCAAGUUAUGUGAUUUUGCUCGGGGCUCACAGCUUAGAACAGAGCAAAGAAUGAACAUCAGCCUCUGCCCUUCUCCACCACUGUGUGCUACCACCCCAAAAGAAUCUUAGCUGCGGAGAAACCAGACAUCAAAGUCCCACUGAGGAUUUGUGAUAUUUCUGAUGAAGAAGAUAUUUUCUCCCAUCCUAGGGGAAGGGAUUGCAGGGCUUAGGUGAAGAAAACUGUAGCACUAACCUGCUACUGAUUUAUGUGAAAAGAUAAAUUGGCACCAGACAGGGAAAUCCCUGGCUUUAGGUGAUCUUGGGGAGUUUACCUGGGGGAUAAAGCUUGUGAGAUCUCUACAAAGUGAGAUGCAUUUUAUUGUAUAGAGAGUGAUGUUUUGAUCCCUAAGUUUUCUGGAGCCAGUAGAUAUCAGGAAAUCUGACUUAGCCUUUUGACGUUCAAAUCCAUCUUGAAUGAGAAUGGCAAUGUGGCUUGAGACAGGAGCAUCAAUUCAUCCAGGUCUUCAGGUCAGCAGUAUGACCCCUUCUUGCCUUUCAGUUUUAACUAUUCCAUGACUUCAAUAACAUGGAAAAAUGCAUGAUUAUUCUUUCUCAAAAGAAACUAAAAAAGUUUCAGUGAAAUUACAAGGCAACAAGGGACCAUGGGGAUAAUGAUUGUGUUUGAAAUAAGGUCUCAAAGCCAGUACAACAGGAGUCCCUCGGCAUAAAAUAAAAAGAUUAUACUCCAGAAAUAUCUCAAUCCAUUAACCCUCCAUCAGUUUAGUCCAAAGAGAUUCUUACAAGGCCCUGAUGAUCCUUCGAAGCACCACUCAGCUAGAGUUUUAGUUCAGAGACAAGGCUGUACCCCAAAUGUCAGCUCUAGUACACUCUUGAUUGUCUUAAUCAAUAAAAACUUUGUGAGGACUAAGCCCGUGAGUCACAGGCCCAAACCUACUUAGUGCUUCUCCAAUUAUCUGUGGAGAUGGAUUUUUUUCUUAAAAGACUGCAACCUAUAGACUCAUACAUUUGUAAAAUACUAUAAAAAUAACUUACUAGAAAAAUGAAAUAAAGAUAUUGUUUUAGUCUGUUUUCUAUUGCUUAUAACAAAAUACCUGAAGUUGGUUAAUUUGUGAGACAUUAAAUGUAUUUCCUUCAGUUCUGGAGGCUGGGAAGUCCAAGGUCAAGGGGGUGCAUCUGGUGAGAACCUUCUUGCUGUUCAAGACUCUCUGAAGGGUCCUUAGGUGGCACAGGGUAUCACAUGGAGAGAGAGCUGAGUGUGCUAGCUCAAGUCUCUCUUCGUCUUCUUAUAAAGCCACCAUUCCCACUCCUAUGAUAACCUGUUAAUGUAUUAAUCCAUGAAUCAUCUCUCAAAGGCCCCAUCUCUCCAUACUGCCACAUUGGGAAUUUCAACAUGAGUUGUGGACAGGACAAAUAUUCAAACCAUAGCAGAUAUACAGAAUAGAAGCACAAAUAUUUAAUUAUUAGAUUACACAGGCAUAAAAUUACAUUUCAAAAAAUAUCAGAAUGCACAUAAUUAGAAGAAAGGAAAGAAUUACAAAUCUGUGCGUGUGGGUCAUGGAAAGUGUGGUGGUUAAUAUCAUGUAUAGGUGGUUAAUAUCAUGUAUAGGUGGUUAAUAUCAUGUACACAAAUGCAGCAACGUCACAUUGUUAUCAUCAUUUUUAGAUACUCUCAACUUCAGUGUUUAUGUCUUCAGGGACCGGUAAUCAACAGUUCACGGACUGGCAACGAUCACCUAAGAGUUAAUGGGACUCCAUUCUUAGCCUUCAGUGCCCUUAAACAUCCAGGCUCCUAGAAGUUUCUUGGGAAACCAGAUGUCUUUGAUACAAUAAGCCAAGACUCUAAGAAUAAUGUGCUUUACAUUAAUUCAAACCAUUUAUCAGAGGAAUAUGAGAGCAGAUGCUGUAUUUUAGAAUUCAGACAUGGAGUUAUUGAUCAAAGAAGAAAUUAAGACUUAUGGUUAUUAUAGUAAAGGGCAGGAGGGAUGGGGGCAGCAGUGCUUGGAGUCCUGGAUAACCCAUUCAGCUCUAUCUACAAUAAUGAAAGUCAGGGAGUGUUGGCAGGAUCAGUGUCUGCUGAUUAGGUCUACUCUAGGCUCCUCUGGUGAGGAUUUGUUUUAUUUUGAUGGGCGUAAGGGAGGGUCUGCGCGUGGAACCUCCACCACAUGCAUUGGUGCUACUGCUUAGGAGGAGGGAGUGAUCCUCCUGCCUCAGUCCUUGAGGCCCCCAAGCCUCAUUGCAAUCCCGGGAAUCUGUCAUUUUCACCUGUCUGUUCAGAUCCAAUUCCCACCCUCUUUGUCCCCUACCCCCAUUUACCAAAAUCUGAACUGUUGCAUAGUCAAUCCCUAUUGGCAUGCACCCCACAAUGAGCCAAAUGCAUAUUAAUGAAUAAACUGACGCGUGGUCCAAAUUACAUGCUACAUAAAUUGUAGCAACUUUGCUUGUGUCUAAUAUCAGCAUUGCGCACAUAAUGACAAAAUCAUACAUUGAGAUAGUUUCUAAAUAGCGCCUUGCAUGUGAAUGUUGAAUAUUUUCAAUGCUUUUAUUCUUAUUUAAAAAAAUAUCUUUUUGGGAAAAAUAUAAAUUAGCAAAAAGAAGAAAUUCAUCUAAGUCAGUACUUGUAUAGAACUAAAUCAUUCUUUUCCAUAGCUUCAUAGUAUUCCAUUGUAUAGAUUUACCAAAAUGAUGGUAACCAUUGCUUUUGAUGGACAUUUGGUUACAUAUUCAAAUUUUUUUCACUUUACAUCAUAAACAUUUUCCCACAUCACUAAAUAUUCUUCUACCCUAGUGUCUUUAAUGACUGAAUACUUGCAUGGUAUUCUAUUGUAUGGAUAUAAUGCUAAAUUCAAUCAGUACCAUAUAAUUACUUUUCUCCCAAACGUCUGCUGUUAUCAAUAGUGUUACUGCUGAUACCGUUGUAAAUCUAUCUUUGUCUGCCUUCAUAAGUAUUUCUUGGGUUAAGUUCUUAGCCUUGUAGCCCUGGAUCAAAGGGCAUGCAAUGUUCUGGGGCCUUCCUGAAGCCUUGCCGUAUUGCCCAAGUUGAAAGAUCAUGUGGAAGGUGGAAAGAGCUUGAAGUGUGGAGAAAGGCAGGCCUUGAUCCUAAUCUUUGCUCUGCCACUUACCAAGCUGGGUGACCUUUGCCAAAAACUGAUAUUCUCUGAGCCUCAAUUUCCUUGUAUAGCAAAAGGAUGAAAGUAAAAGCAUUUACUUCGUAGGACGGUUUUGGGACUCAGAUAAAAUCAUGCAUUUUGAGCCUUCUGUGGGAAGCAGCCUUCCCCUUGGUCAUUUUGGAAUGGUGUACAAGCAAGGAUGCAUUUUUAAUUCAGUCUGCCUUCUCCAUCAACUUUUACACGCAUCUCAGAACCUGGGCACCACUCCAUAGAACAUUUUAGCCAGGGAGGAGAGGGCGUGGGGGCUGGAAUUUCAAAGGCAUGUAGGACUGGUCUAGCUCUCUUAUAAUGUGAACAAAAUUUCCACAAACAAAUUGUUACUAGAUAAAAAGCGUUUGGGAUUGGAGGCUUUUGAGGGCUGUGUCCCCUGCUCUAAAGUGUGGGGCCUCGGAGUUGUGUGUUUUUGCUGCUUGGUGAACAGGAUGACAAUGUCUGGUUCUGAAAUCCCAGGAGCUGAGGGAAGCCCCUGUUUGAACAGUUCCUGUUCGCCCAGUUCCUGUUCUCCCAGAGUUUUUUGUGAAGUGAGCCUAGGAGCUAAGAAGAGAGAGAGAAAUGAGGUCUGCUGAUCCCCAGCAAAACUACAUGCACCUCCGUUUCAUCUGUUUUGGUUGAAAACUUACAAAGGUUAAAAUAGAGAAAACCUUCAGGGCAGGCAAGCUAUAUGUGGUUAGCUUUGUGUGGGAACCUGAGUCCUGGAGACUGCCCUGACUUUUGCAGCAGGCACAUUUGUAUGUUUGGAUUUGCCAGAAGGGAUAAAUCACACAAACAGAGCACCUUGGGAAUCCUUCAGGGAGUCCUGUUUGGCCCCAGCCCCCUUCUGUUAAACACACACCCCAUUCUCCAGGCUGUGGAGAGUGGUUCACACACUGCCCUUGUCUGAAGAGCUUUCUCUGGAAAACUCAUUCUUGGAGAGAACUUUCUUUGUGUAAUAGUUCAGCCUUUUAGACUAAACAGACGAGAAAAUGGUGAAGUACAGAAAAAAAGGAGUUCCUCCUGGUAAACAGGGGAAGAGUUGCUUUGGGUUUGGUAUCCUCUGCCUCUCUGAUUGUUGCAUACCAUGUUCACAGUGGUACCCCAGCCAAGACAGAUACUGAGAAACAGAUCCUCUUUUCCACUAUGUCUUGUUUUCUCAUUGCUUGGAUGGUGUUGCAAGCCUGUCUGGCCUCCAAGUGCACAUCUUGUCCUCUUCGGGCCCCAACACAGGCAUGUGAUAUUUAGCCUGCAGAGCAGCAUUCAUUUAAAAUCAAAACUUUGAAGGUUGAUCUGGUUUGAGAACAACCCCGAAGCAUGAGAUUCUUUGACAUGUGGGCCCCUUGGGGCUGUGCGGAAAGAGGAGAGUCAAGUUUUCCCAGGAUGAGCCUGGAGUGAGGUUGAAGGAUAGUCUCCUCAUUUAUGGGCCUGGCUCUGAAACCAAAGCAAGGACAAUUGCCCCAACCUCCAUCCCCAUCCUACCUCCAGUCGGGCUGGUCUGCAGUGCACACAUCCUGCUUUUAUUACAGGGUGCAUUUCGCUUACAGACCCUUCCAUCCCUGCCACCCCACCCCCACCCACACCCCCCUGAAAUGAGCUCCCCAUUCCAUUAAGGUGGAUGACAGCACCCGCCCAGGGUAAGCUUCCAAUGGAGGAGGGAGAGAAUGUUGGACCAGCAAUUUCGGAAGACAGUUAAAAGAUUAGAUAGUAAAUUUACUUAACAGAGACUAAUCACCUGGGACUGGGUUUCAUAUCCUGUUUUGAAAUAAUGUAUUUUCUUUUGUGCUCUGGUCUGAAUCUGUCAUCCCUCCUCUAAUAAUGAGAGGCAGUGGAUUUUUAAUCUUUGACCUUCUUCCAUAUAAUCUAAUCACAGUGGUUUUCUGAUCCUUCUCUCCUUAUGUGGUGAAGUUCUGGAAAGAAAAAGAACUCAUUUCUCAGGCAUUGCUGGGCUAUUCUCCAUUGCUAUAAGGGGCUGAGUUGACAGGUAGAAUCAGGUUCUGCCUGUUAGAUGUUCACCUCUAGGCCCUUAAAAUCAAAGAGUGGAGCAGGAGAAAGAAAAGAAAGGAAAGCCCAAGGCUCUUGGGUCUGAAUCAGAUGAAUGAAGGGUGGCAAUUGGAAACUACAAUAAAACAUUCACAACAUCUGUUUCAUACCAGUGCAGCGUAGAGAGCUGUGAGUCACAAAAUGGGAGCAGUCAUAGGUGAGGCAAUUUCUGAGUGUAAUAGCACUAGGAAUGAGACCUUAGGUAAUCCUCCAAUUGUCUGCACAUGGAAACUUCUAUGCACUUAGCAGCUUUAUCUUCACUUUCAAACUGGGAGGUCCUGGGUGUCUCUCCUUCCUCUUGGGUUUGGCUCAUAGACGGGAUGCCUGGGGUGCCUGACCCUAGGCAACCCCUCCUGAAGUCUUCCCUCUGUGUGGGAUUGUCAGAUGAGGUGUCUCUUCAGACUCCUUGACUUUGGGAGUUGCCCCAACAGGAGUCCUGCAGGCUAGGAGGUUGGAUUCAGUUCUAACUAGAAAUGGGAGCGAGAGGACAGAGGAAUGCCUUCACUUCACCUCCUGCCCGUCUCCCUAUUGAUGUAAUUGUUGCUUGAUUGGCAGAAGAGGUGUAGACAAGAUCUGUAGCCCCUCCCUCUUCACCUUUUCCAUCUCUGAGGGCUCAGAGACACUUUAGAUGCAGCCAUGUCUUUUGGCUGCUUAGCCAGAGUUCUCUAAGUUGAAAGCAACAAAACACACUCAAAUUUAGUUAACUUAAAAAAAAAAAAGCAUUUAUUGAAAGACUAUGGGUGGGGCAUCUAGAAUCAAAGGGAAGGUUGAAAAACAAGGCUUGCAGAUCAUCUUCAGAAGGUAUUGAGAGCAGCAAUUGCUCAACAGUCAGACCCAGGCAUCAGCGCUAGUGAACAGAUGCCACUUACCCUCGGUCUUUUGUGCCCUUUGUCUGUAAUUCAAAUGUCAUGGAGGGAGAACCUCACUGACCCAGCUUGGGUCAUGCAUUUGGUCAGAGCAAGGUAGGGCAUCUGGAUUGAUAGUCCUACCAGAUUGUACCCAGGGAAAGGAAGUUCCUCAAAAGGUAAUAGGAGGAUGUGCUUUUACCCAAAGAAGAUGAAGACAAUGGUAGGUUAGCCAUAAGGCCAGCACAUUUCUGCCAAACAUCCACAAAUCCGUGUCUCACUGGAGUCUGACCUUGCUGAGUAGGUCUUGCGAUGGGGCAGGCAGAGCAAUCCAAAAGGGAUGGCAGGAGAAACUGAUGGUGCUCUCUUCUCUUGCCUCCUUCCCUUCACACUGUGCCACUGUCGUUACCACUCCUACACCCGUCCCCCCAUCAUUAUCAGAAUGGGCAGAUUGACUCCCAGAAGUUAAACUUUUGAGUUGAGGUUAUUUCAUUUCUUAUGAAUCUCCCAGGUUCUAAUCGUCACUUGUCUUCAUUAACUCCCCUCCUGGGCCCCUUUGUUCCCCACUGAGGACCUCCCCCAACCCCUCCCCCAAAUUCACAGCUGAGAUAAAUAAUUCAGAGGUAAAAUAAAUGUCCGGCCCCCACCCCAGCUCUGUGUAAUUACCUCCCUGGUGUGUGUUGGCUUCGCCCUUAUGGGAAAUGUGAGAAGGGAAACGGGUCCUUUUAGCCUGUGAAUGGUGCUUUAUUAUUUUGAUGCAUGAAUGCAGAAGGAAUAAGAGACAAAAUAAAGUUAAUAAUACAUUGCAGUGUAGAUAAUUCAUCACUUAAAUCAAUAGGAACUGCAGGUCACUGAACUGGAACUGGUGUUACUGUGAUCCAAACAUGGAAUUAAUAAUUGAAACUACACUGAUCUGUCUUCCCGGAAUGGGAAGACAGACAACCCCAGGGAUAGAUGCACACAGCACAGGAGGAACAAGGCAAUAGAGAUAGACAGAUGAUUCAUUUAAUUCCUGCAGCUGUCACAUACAGUAAAUAUGAAAAUCUGCUUUCUAUCUGGAAUCAGCUUCAUUUGGGAGUGAGGCUAGUUGAAUUAUACUCUCAGCUCUGUGUUUAUUUUUUUCAUUUAUUGCAGGAAUUUUAAAUGAUGGUUAGCAUGGAAUGCUAUGUUCUCUGAGGUUGAAAAGGCUCUCUAGCAACAACUAGGCAGUGGUAUGCAUAGCAUCUGUGGCCCCAUUAGCUCCUACACACCCACCUGAAAAUUGUGGGUACUCAGUUUCCCAGGAAGUUUGGCUCUGCAGCCACAUUGAGAACGAUUGAAUCAGUGACCUGUAGUUUGCAAAAGAGUGUAUCAGAAGAGUCAAGAAAGUGGACUCAGGGAGCUCCCCAGUGGAACAACCUUGGGCAAGUUACAUAGUCUCUCUGAGCCUCAGUUUCCCUCCCUAUAAAAGUAGGUAAUGACAGCACCUACCUCAUAAGAGUGCUUGAGGGCGGAGUGAGAUCAUGAAUGAAAGCAUUGAGAAUCACAGCUGGCUCCUGGUAUCCAGCGGUGCCUGCAUUACUCUCAGAGGUCAUGGAGCUACUGGGCCAGGGUAAGGGUGAAGUUGGUGGUUUAUGGAGAGAGAUUUAGUGUUGUUUAAAAUCGACACUCCCUGCUUUGGCUUUUACAGGGAUAGAGUUGAUUGUCGAAGUUAAUCUCUGUACUGCUCCCUUCCUCUUGCAGGAGAUGGGGUGGGAGUGAGAUCAGGGCACCCGCCCGUAGCUCUGGAUGCAUGGCAAAAGUAGUAACUCCAUUUGGAGGUAGGGAUUGGGCACAGUUAAAUUGUUCUGCCUAAUGAAAUGGAAGGAGGUGGAGUGAGGAACAGGUUUCUAGAGGACUUCUUGGGAGGGAAGCAAAGGGGAAAAUCCAGGGAAGAAUGUAAGAAACAGAAUCCUACAGAAAAAAGUGGCUGAAUUUUUUUAGAACAAAGAUGCUUAAAAUUUAUUUUUAAAUCUCCUUCCUUCUAUACAACCUUCACAUGAGCCUGCAUCCUGUGGGUGUGUGCCUGUGUGUCAGUGUGGGUGUCUGUGUAGGUAUAUAGAUACGUGCCCAUGUGUGGCUGUGUCUGUGCAGAUGUCUCUGUGUAGGUGUGUCUAUGUGGAUGUCUGUGUGUGGGGGUGUCUGUGUGUGGGGGUGUGAUGUUCACAAAUGAAGGAAAAGGGGUUGGAUUUCCUGGCUGGACUGACAUGGUCCAGAACAGGACAGCAUACGUGAGACUGGCCCUGAUGAUGUAUGAACUGAUGUAUUUCAGCAGAAGUAGGAUUUCAGAAGCAGAGUUCACUAGGAAAAGCCCCAGUCCUUGCCCUACCACAUGCUCUGGAGAGCCCGGUGGCUGCAGGGCUUCCUGGGCAGGUGAGGUGAGUCUUGCAUCCACUUUACUUGCUCCUCCACCUACACCUGUGUAGGCUGUGGAGGGACUGGCUGGGGACAUCAUCUGCCAGGUAUAGGAAGGCACUAUGUCCAGGAAGUCCCUUUCUACAUUCAGCUGCAUUUUUGCUCAGUAGGGGGGUCUGUGUGCCCCUUGUGGUAACUUUUCUACCUGCCUGGAGCACCAGUCUGAGGAUGCUGUGGUUAUGUGUGGUCGAUCUUGGGAGCGAGAAUGGUGAUAGACCAGCCCCCUGAGCUUAGGGAGGAAGUCCAGCAAAUGAACAGGGUUUCUAGAAGGACCACUUGCAGUCCUUUCCCCAUUCUCCGGGGUGUGCUAAUAUGUGGAAGGCCAGGGCUACCUCCUCUGGGGAUUUCCUGAACCCCCUGCAGCAGUUGGGAUCAGAUGCAUGGGAGUUAGACAGUCAGGGUAUUUUGGAGGAGAGGUUGGCAUGGCUGAGAGCUUUUCGGCAGAGGACCUGGGGCAGAGUUGGUGGGUGACAGCCCCUCCCUAAAGAGAGAAGUGACCAUAUUCUGAACUGGUGUCUUUAAAGGGCCACCCCUCCUCUUCUCUCAAGAUGAUUCCAGAGCCCAAAAGCCUCUUCUAAGAGGAAAAGUUCUACGGAUCUUAGAACUUUUGGAAGGAAUACAAUAGUCUAUUAAAUGCAGGCCUUUGGAUCUAAAGCCACAGUGAUAUGAAAAUCUGUGCAGUCAAAUGUACCCUUGAAAACCCCUUCAGUCACCCUUAAAUCUCUAGAAACUGGUCUCUUCAAAAUUCAGAAGCCAAACAGGAACUUACUUUUUAAAAGUCUGUUUUCUUCUGGGAUCUGGCCUUUCCUGGAGUGGUAGAGGCCAAGAUCUAGUUUGAACUGGAAAGAUAAUGGGGUCAACAAAGAAUGUUUACCUUCUUGCUGAGCAAUAUAGUUGAGUUUCAUGAGUCAGAUGCCCUUAGUGAUGUGACUUCAGUAGAGUGUGAAGCAGGAGAAGGCAGUGAACCAAGAGGCAAGAGAACUUACUGGGUGGUCCAACAACUCUGCAAAGUAGUUGUGUGACCUUGAACAAGACGCUGCACCUCUCUGGAUAUAAUUUUUCAAACUUCAGAACAAACUCUGAAAAUAUUUAGAUGGGUAGGUAGAUAGGUAGGUGGAGAGAGAGAUGCCAGCUUUUUAAGAAAUGUGUAAUUUAGUGUUCCAAACAACACGAGAAUGAGACGCUUUUAUAAUUAUGGUUUUCUAGUUACCCGUAUUUUUCAUGAGAGCUCCAUUAGCAAGGAAUCCAACUUUUCCCCCUUGACAUUGUUGAAUUGCAUUAUAAAUGUCCAGAAUUUAUAUACAAAGUGUUAAGCAUAUCCCAUUUCAGGAUUGAAAUUAGCUAAUAUUUAAGAUGUCUUCCUUGUCAAUUAAGAACAAUUCUUCCUAACAGUGAGGUAGGCAUGGCGUGAGUCCUGAUUAGUGGUUGCUCAGGGCUGGGUAGGAGGAACAGGGUAUAGGAGUUUGUGGCUAAGGGAUAUGGGGCUUCUUUUUGAAGUAAUGAAAACUGUCUAAUAUUGAUGACAGUGAUGGUUGCACACAUCUGUGUAUAUACUAAAACCACUGAAUUCUGUCCUUUAAAUGGAUGAAUUACAAGCUGUGUAAAUUUUAUCUCAAUAAUGCAGUUUAAAAUUUUUCAGUGAAGGCCAGGCAUGGUGGCUCAUGCCUGUAAUCCUAGCACUUUGGAGGCUGAGGCAGGUGAAUCACCUGAGAUCGGAGUUCAAGACCAGCCUGGCCAACAUGGCAAAACCCCGUCUCAACUAAAAAUAGAAAAAUGAGCUGGGUGUGGCAGUGAGCACCUGUAAUCCCAGCUACUCAGGAGGCUGAGGUAGGAGAAUCGCUUGAACCCGGGAGGCGGAGGUUGCAGUGAGCCGAGAUAGCACCACUGCACUCCAGCCUGGGCAAAAAGAGUGAAACUCUGUCUCCAAAAUAAUAAUAAUUAAAUAAAAAUUUUCAAUGAAAAAGGGAAAAAAAGUUAUUUCUAGAUGGGUUUGCUUCUGUGCAUGGGUCAGAAGCCAGCAGUUAGAAAACUGUAGUUAUAUUCAUGGCCGUCAUGGAAACAAGGCAUGGGGGACUUGUCUUUGUCCCAUUAUUGCCUUUGGGCUCUUCAAGGACAAGCUGGAGCUUAACAUCCUGAAGCUGGAAAGAAUUUCAGAGGUCAUCUAAGGAAAGACUGUGCCAGCUACUCUCAGCAUUUUGCUUAGCCAAACACUUCAUCUCUGCUUUUACCAGGAACUUACACCUAAAGAGGAGAAGAAUCCAUGUGGGGGAUAUCUGUGGCACGGCCUGGGGGGACGGAAGGACUGGGGAAAGAAUGCAUUUGACCUGCGAACAGAAGGAGAGAGUAGAGUGACAACAGCUGCCUUGAAGUGUGGAUGAAAUGUUACAUGCUUCUCACACCCAAUGUGAGGCAACAAGCAAACUCUGAGUUAAAACAGGCAAAGACAGGUAUGAGUCUAGAGAAGACAGCAAGAGGAAGGAAGGAAAGGAAUCUGACAGGCAUGGAACCUUCAUCAGGAUUUCAUUCCACACUGAGUGCUUGCCAGUGGCCAUCGCGUGUCAUCCCUGCCUCGGCCCUACCUCAAAGGUAAUAUGCCAUUUUCACAGAUAAGAAAACCAAGGCUCAGAGGUGUGAUGUAACUUUUCAGAGCCACUCAGUUGACAAGUAGGGAAACUGAGAUUCAAGCAUAAGGUCUAGGGAGUCCUCACCAAGGUGGCCCUAAAGCAAUCCUAGGAAAAGGGUCUGCCAUAAUCCACCCAGUUGUUCCAGCCAAAAACCUAAGACUCUUUCUUUUCUGAUUUCUCUCUUCCCUGACACACACACACACACACACACACGUUGUCCUGCAGCCAGCCAUCAACAAGCCAGGUUGAAUCCAACUCCUUACCUGAUUCCUCAAGGUCAUGCUUCUACCUGGCUUCACCUACCCUGCCCAACCUCAUCCUGCACCAUUCUCUGCCUGGUGCUUCCUCUUUCCCCAAUCCACUGGGAGGACAACUGUGCUUGCUCUGCCUCUGCCUGGAUGCCUCUCCAGGUCUUCUCACUGGAGCCCUCCCCUUCAGGUCUCAGCUCAAGAGUCAUCACCUCCCCAGAGGGACCUUCCUCGCAGCCCUGUCUAAUAUGGCCUCCUCCAAAUACUUCCCAUCACCAUGACUACGUAACAACUUUUUUACAGAAAUUAUUUUUUGCAGUUUAUCUACAUGUAGUCUUAUGUGUUCCCUAUCUCCCUAACUAUAACCUAAGUCCAUUGAACUCUCUCGCUCCCCGAGGUAGCCUCAGAACCUAGAAGGUAGCCCUGGAACCUAGAAGGUGGUAGCUCCAGAGCCUUGCUCAUGGAAUAUGCUCAAGGGCGGGAGGGUGAGAGAGAAGGUGGAAAGGUUUUCCCUCAGAGGAAAGAGAAUCAAAGCAGACAUUUCUAUGGAGCAGAGGGCUCUGGGAUGCUCUGGUUUUCGGCUUACUUGCUGUGGACAUCUGCAUAUCUUUCUUAUGCAUUUGUUUCUACAAAUAUUUAUUGAAUGUUUUUUAUUAAAAACAAAAUCCACUUCUCAAUGAUUGAAGACAGAUAUCCUGGGACUCAGGAAAUAUGUAUGCUAAAGUUUACGUUUGACCAUGAGGUGCAGUUAUAUGAAGUCUGUUUCGGGAUUGAGAGUGGGAAGGGGCAGAUCAACUAGGAAAAGAAAAAAAUCAGAUGUAUUUCAGUUUAUACUAGGUACAACCAUGUAGAAAGACAGCGAAAUGAAGGAAAUGAUUCCUGCAAUGGGGUACAGUGGAACCUCUGGUCCCUGCAUGGUGCAGUGGAAGCUCCCACCACCUGGCCAUGUUGUCCUCAGACUAGAUCCACCCAACCUCUCACAUGUGUAAUGCAGGCAUAAAGCAUGAAAACCACGUGUCCACAGUUGGGACAACUGGUCUGUCACAGUGAUCUCAGGUGAUUCAUGCAUGGUGACGCUGAAGGUGAUGAUAAUAGGGCAAUGGUCACUAGAUGGUGCACACUUGAAAUAUGCUAAUAGCAUACUUUCCUUGCAUACAUCUCAUUUAGCCUCAUUUGUACAAUUUCUCCACACACAUACACUCCACAAGAUGGGAAACUUGCCUUCUUUACUAUGAAUCACCAACAUCUAGAGUAACAUCUGGCCUGUGGAUGAUGUUUAGGAAUGAAUUGUUGGGCAGGUGGAUAAAGAAGAUGGGUCCACCAGCAUGCAAGCUCUUCAUGGAGGGGACUUGUCUGAUUUACCACCACAAAGCUGAUGCCUGCAAAAUGCCUGGCAUAAAAUAAGUCCUCCAUAAAUAUUUGCUGAAUAAAUGACUCUCCAUUUCACAGAUAAAGAAACUGAGGUCCAAAGAUAUUACAUACCCUGCCCAAGGUAACAUAGCCAGGAAGUGAUGAAAUGGUGAUGAUCUGGGCUCUUUAUAGUAAGAAAAAGAGGAUCUUUCUGGUUUCAGGGUGGGAAUAGGAAACUACAUAGAAUAGGGCAGGGGCAGGAGUGAGUUUGAGAUACCCCACAACAAAUGCCAUAACUUGCUAUGACAGCUGUAAUCAAUAUAAUCUGUGGCCAUAAAGCAGCCCAGUGCUGGACUCCUGCACAAAUCUGCCUCGGGACUGUCAUACACUGUUUUAGUUCAGAGGAGCUGUUUGUUUUUUGUUUUUUUUUUUUAUUUGAGACAGAGUUUCACUUUUGUCGCCCAGGCUGGAGUGCAGUGGCGCUAUCUCAGCUCACUGCAACCUCCGCCUGCGGGGUUCAAGCAAUUAUCUUGCCCCAGCCUCCCGCGUAGCUGGGACUACAGGCAUGUGCCACUACACUUGGCUAUUUUUGUAUUUUUAGUAGAGAUGGGGUUUCACCAUGUUGGCCAGGCUGGUCUUGAUCUCCUGACUUCAGGUGAUCCGCCUGCCUCAGCCUCCCAAAGUGCUAGGAUUACAGGUGUGAGCCACCACACCUGGCCUUGUCUUUGCUGUUUUUUCUUUGUUUGUUUGUUCGUUUAGACAGAGUCUCUCUCUGUUGCCCAGGCUGGAGUGCAGUGGCACGAUCUCAGCUCACUGCAAACUCCGCCUCCUGGGUUCACACUAUUCUCCUGCCUCAGCCUCCCGAAUAGCUGGGACUACAGGCGCCUGCCACCACACCCGGCUAAUUUUUUGUAUUUUCAGUAGAGAAGGGGUUUCACCGUGUUAGCCAAGAUGGUCUCGAUCUCCUGACCUCAUGAUCCACCCACCUCGGCCUCCCAAAGUGCUGGCGUUACAGGCGGGAGCCACUGCGCCCAGCCUUGUCUUUGCUUCUUAAAGGAUGAUGAGGAAGAAAUUAGCUAAGCUUGCUGUUAAUGAAUCUUCCAUCCCCAUGAGAAUGUUAGUUUUGAGAGCCCCAAAGUGAACCUGAGCCAAGUGUUCCCUUCCCGCUCUCCAGGAGCUGGGGCUGCUAUAGGGGAAGAAAGCAAGUUCAUGGAAACUGCACCUGUCACCAACAAAUUCAGGGUGUCUCGUUCCCAUUUAUCAAGCUGUCAGCUCCUAACCUGUCAGAAAACCAUCUAGAUGUGUUUGAGUUUAUCCGCCAGAUUGAGCGGAGCAUCCCCAUCCGGUUGCUUUUCUUGUUGAUAGCUUUAUGGCUGUUUUCAGGAUGACCUGCAAGGGAGGGAUUCUCUUCCUGCUGCUCUUUCCCUCAACAGGAGAAAAACAAAAACAAAGCCCUGCAAUUUGGGGUAAUGUAGAUGUCAACAACAGAACCGCCUAUGGCCAAGGAUUGCACAGGUUAGCUCUGUCUAUUUUCGUCCAGUUAAACGCUGACUCCCGGGCAGUAGGCAGCUCGAAGUACAACAUGUCAACUGAGGAGAAAAUUAAAGCCAAAAACCUCUGCAUAAUUUAUUCAUCACAACCUAAAAUUGACUCCCUGCUUGUCUGCAUUCAGGUUGAGGCUCAUUUAACUGCCUCCACUGUGUCUGUUUAAAGAGAAAAUAGAGGAAUCGGCUCAGUGGGGUAAGAUAAACCAAACACAAAAACGCCCAACAGUUCUUUCAUUUUACUCCUCACAUGACUUUGUUCCUCUCUGCUGGUUAAGAUGAGAAUGACUCUACAUCAAAAUGAUUAAUUAUUAUUAUUACUUCAAGUUUGGUGUAUCUUGCGGGGGAAAAUAAUCUGGAAUUUUUUCUGAGCAAAACUCCUCCAGACCAAGUUGGAGGAAACUGCACCUAUCACCAACAAAUAGGCUUUGCCCUAUUCGUAGACUCCACCUGGGUUUCCUUCUGCUUCUGAAAUCAUCAGUGCACAGUAGACAUUUUCAACAUUUUAUAGAUGAAGAUCAGAGAGGUACAGUAACUUGCUCAAGGUCACACAGCUAGAAAGAGUCAGAGCUAAGACAGACCUAAGUCUGUCUGAGUCAAAACCUUUAAAUUUUCCUGAGUUUCAUGUAGAUCAUGCUCAGUAGGGCAAAGACCUACAGAGGUGUGUAGCCAAGACAGUGUGAAGUUAGGAGAUGAAUUUGGUAAACAAGAGAGGAUACUCUUAGCUUCAGAAGACCGGUUUUGGUUGACAGGUGGGGUGGGAGGCAGAUUGCUACUGGAUGAGCAUGUUAAGUUUUGUGUCAUGUCUCCCCAGUGAGAUUUUAAGCUCCUUGAAGACAGGUGCUUUCAAAGGGUAUACACAGGUUCAUAGGAGGAUUCCCUUUGUAAUGAACCCAACAGGGCCAGAUACAAAGACACCUUCCAAAGUUGGCAGUGAGACUGCUGACAAGGAUGGCAGUGAAGAGUGGUGUCUGCCAAGGUGACAACAGGGAUGGGAUUCCUCUCUCUGCUGCUGUCCAAGUGUGAAGUCUGGAGCUCCUAUGCCUGCCAUAUUUGGGAAGAGAAUGAGCUUGAAUUCCAGGGUAACAGGGAGAGGCAAUGAGAAGAUUUACACGUUGUGUUGGGAGACCCAAGAAGAGUAAUGAUUAAGCAAGGGCAUGGGGGGAGAGGGGGGUGCUAAGCUUGCUGAUAAGGAUGGUGCUGAGCAGUUUCCUUAGCCUUGCUGACCCGGGAAAGCAGAGGGGGAGAUGACUGGAGAGAAGGAAUGGCAUAGUUAAUGGGAGGGGAGAGAUAAAUCAUUCUUAAUCUUUAUGUUCAGGGAGGAGAAUGGUGAGGAAUCUUAAAAACCCACUCUCCUUUCCAAGGCCUGGGGAGAGCCAUGAGGAAGGAAUUUGAACGUCUGCCAGAGCAGGUGAGCAAAGCUUGGGAAGAGAAUCUGGUGCAGGCACGGAAGUGCUAGCAGGAGGUACGAGAGUGUCUGAAAUCUCUACUGGAGAGUGCAGACAUCAUCUUUUCUGCCAGUCUUGCAUGGUGGGAAGUAGAGUGGGAACCCGAGGCUUUAUUCUUCCUGCAGAUGAAGGCUGACCACACCAGAUAUUGUGAUUGUAGAGGGACAGGUGCAAUGAAAGGAAUGAAAAAUCCCUCAAAGAUUUGAGAUGGCAGUGCCAGAGGAAUGCAAGGCAGCUUAGAAAAAUUAUGACGCAAGUGUUAUAUAUUUACUGUAGAGAAGUUACAUGAGACAGAGAAGCCAAAAAAGAAAAA